AGUCGAACGAAGUAGCAAUACUUAGUGGCAGACGGGUGAGUAACAUGUAGGUAUCUGCCCUUUGGCCUGGAAUAACACGAGGAAACUUGUGCUAAUACCGGAUAAGUCUUUACGGAGAAAGCUUUAUGCACCAUUGGAUGAGCCUGCACUUGAUUAGUUUGUUGGUGGGGUAAUGGCCUACCAAGACUGUGAUCAAUAGCUGAUUUGAGAGGAUGAUCAGCCACAUUGGGACUGAGACACGGCCCAAACUCCUACGGGAGGCAGCAGUGGGGAAUCUUGCACAAUGGAGGAAACUCUGAUGCAGCGAUGCCGCGUGAGUGAAGAAGGCCCUUGGGUUGUAAAGCUCUUUCGUCGGGGAAGAAAAUGACUGUACCCGAAUAAGAAGGUCCGGCUAACUUCGUGCCAGCAGCCGCGGUAAUACGAAGGGACCUAGCGUAGUUCGGAAUUACUGGGCUUAAAGAGUUCGUAGGUGGUUGAAAAAGUUGGUGGUGAAAUCCCAGAGCUUAACUCUGGAACUGCCAUCAAAACUUUUCAGCUAGAGUAUGAUAGAGGAAAGCAGAAUUUCUAGUGUAGAGGUGAAAUUCGUAGAUAUUAGAAAGAAUACCAAUUGCGAAGGCAGCUUUCUGGAUCAUUACUGACACUGAGGAACGAAAGCAUGGGUAGCGAAGAGGAUUAGAUACCCUCGUAGUCCAUGCCGUAAACGAUGUGUGUUAGACGUUGGAAAUUUAUUUUCAGUGUCGCAGCGAAAGCGAUAAACACACCGCCUGGGGAGUACGACCGCAAGGUUAAAACUCAAAUGAAUUGACGGGGACCCGCACAAGUAGUGGAGCAUGUGGUUUAAUUCGAAGAUACGCGCAGAACCUUACCAACACUUGACAUGUUCGUCGCGACUCUAAGAGAUUAGAGUUUUCGGUUCGGCCGGACGAAACACAGGUGCUGCAUGGCUGUCGUCAGCUCGUGUCGUGAGAUGUUGGGUUAAGUCCCGCAACGAGCGCAACCCUCACUUUUAGUUGCCAUCAUUUAGUUGGGCACUCUGAAAGAACUGCCAGUGAUAAGCUGGAGGAAGGUGGGGAUGACGUCAAGUCCUCAUGGCCCUUACGUGUUGGGCUACACACGUGCUACAAUGGUAUCUACAACAGGAAGCAAGACUGCGAGGUCAAGCAAAUCCUUAAAAGAUACCUCAGUUCGGAUUGCACUCUGCAACUCGAGUGCAUGAAGCUGGAAUUACUAGUAAUCGUGGAUCAGCGUGCCACGGUGAAUGCGUUCCCGGGUCUUGUACACACCGCCCGUCACACCAUGGGAGUUGGUUCUACCUUAAGGCAAGGUUUUAAACCCU
rnacentral:rRNA from 1 species